UUUCUUUUCUUAUUCUCUCUAUACGUUUGUGUUCUAACCAAUAAUCACUGAUGCAAUGUUCUAUCCGAUCGAUUCAGGAACCAACUAACGGAUGCCAAAGUGCUGUACUUUGUGAAUUUCGUUAAACGGAUGCCAAAGUGCUAUACUUUGUGAGUUCGUUAAACGGAUGCCAAAGUGCUGUCUAAACAAGACUAUACUUUGUGAAUUUCGUUAAGGUUCGAAUCUCGUGACCAUCGUUAGGUUUGAUUAGGUUUAACACUAAUACGUAUUCCAUUCUGUUAAACUAAAUGUUUAACUACUCGAAACUCUACCCCAUACACUUACAAUCAAAAUGGAUGCUGAAUCAUCAGAAGGUUCAAAACGAUAAAGUAUAUGCUUAAUUAUCAGAAGGAGUAGAAUCAAGAAGCUUGUUAAAUUAAUACUGCAUGCUUAUAAUGUAAUUACAGUAGAUUGGAACAAGAGUGAUGAUACGGCACCGAAAGGCUUAAAGAAGUGGCUUAUUUUAUUAAUUAAACUAAAUCAAUAAAUGUUGUUCAUGCUGAAGCUACCUUUGUAAAACAUGGGUUUAUUCCCAUCUGUUUAAUAAACAAAAAUCCGGUGUUUCAAAACUCUGAUAUUUUUCCUAACUCACGGUCCUGAUGAACAUUUCCGCUGCAACAUUUUUAAAAUAACCACCGGUACCACUUGGCUGCUCGCGGCUCUCGAUUCCGUCCAGGGUGGGGUCGGGGGUCGUGACAGUCCGCAUUGGUUCUUUUGGCAGAAUGACAUGACUUAGCAAAAGAUAGCAUGGGUAAUCAUGAGUUAGGAAGCUAAGUUCAAGACGGCUCGGAUGAAGAUGUGCUAAGCGAUGGUCACUGACAAAGGCCCAAGUUUUGCAGAGGGUUCAGGGGCAUUGGUAAGAAAGUCGGGAACCAGAAGGCAAUAUUACCUUAGUGAGAUGAAGGAUAAAAGGCGAGAAAUAAAAUAAUAGUAAAUAGUACACAAUAUUAUUCAAGAGUACAAUGUAAUAUGUAGAGACUUAUCAUUUUUGCUUACUUAUUAUGAAUUCAUUGUAAUUUAAUAUUUACUUAAGUAAUGGAAUGUUUCUUUCAUUUAAAAGUAACAUUAUUAAAGAAUAUAAUU
rnacentral:lncRNA from 1 species